rnacentral:rRNA from 1 species
CUGGCGGCGUGCUUACCAUGCAAGUCGCACGAUGAACCUGGAGCUUGCUCUGGGGGAUUAGUGGCGAACGGGUGAGUAACACGUGAGUAACCUGCCCUGGACUCUGGGAUAACCCCGAGAAAUCGGAGCUAAUACCGGAUAGGACCUGGAACCGCAUGGUUUUGGGUGGAAAGUUUUUUCGGUCUGGGAUGGACUCGCGGCCUAUCAGCUUGUUGGUGAGGUAAUGGCUCACCAAGGCGUCGACGGGUAGCCGGCCUGAGAGGGUGACCGGCCACACUGGGACUGAGACACGGCCCAGACUCCUACGGGAGGCAGCAGUGGGGAAUAUUGCACAAUGGGCGAAAGCCUGAUGCAGCAACGCCGCGUGAGGGAUGACGGCCUUCGGGUUGUAAACCUCUUUUAGUAGGGAAGAAGGGCUUCGGCUUGACGGUACCUGCAGAAAAAGCACCGGCUAACUACGUGCCAGCAGCCGCGGUAAUACGUAGGGUGCGAGCGUUGUCCGGAAUUAUUGGGCGUAAAGAGCUCGUAGGCGGUUUGUCACGUCUGCUGUGAAAUCCCGAGGCUCAACCUCGGGCCUGCAGUGGGUACGGGCAGACUGGAGUGCGGUAGGGGAGAUUGGAAUUCCUGGUGUAGCGGUGGAAUGCGCAGAUAUCAGGAGGAACACCGAUGGCGAAGGCAGAUCUCUGGGCCGUAACUGACGCUGAGGAGCGAAAGCGUGGGGAGCGAACAGGAUUAGAUACCCUGGUAGUCCACGCCGUAAACGUUGGGCGCUAGAUGUGGGGACCAUUCCACGGUUUCCGUGUCGUAGCUAACGCAUUAAGCGCCCCGCCUGGGGAGUACGGCCGCAAGGCUAAAACUCAAAGGAAUUGACGGGGGCCCGCACAAGCGGCGGAGCAUGCGGAUUAAUUCGAUGCAACGCGAAGAACCUUACCAAGGCUUGACAUAUACGAGAACGCCGCAGAAAUGUGGAACUCUUUGGACACUCGUAUACAGGUGGUGCAUGGUUGUCGUCAGCUCGUGUCGUGAGAUGUUGGGUUAAGUCCCGCAACGAGCGCAACCCUCGUCGUAUGUUGCCAGCACGUAAUGGUGGGAACUCAUAUGAGACUGCCGGGGUCAACUCGGAGGAAGGUGGGGAUGACGUCAAAUCAUCAUGCCCCUUAUGUCUUGGGCUUCACGCAUGCUACAAUGGCCGGUACAAAGGGCUGCGAUGUCGUAAGGCGGAGCGAAUCCCAAAAAGCCGGUCUCAGUUCGGAUUGAGGUCUGCAACUCGACCUCAUGAAGUCGGAGUCGCUAGUAAUCGCAGAUCAGCAACGCUGCGGUGAAUACGUUCCCGGGCCUUGUACACACCGCCCGUCAAGUCAUGAAAGUCGGUAACACCCGAAGCCGGUGGCCUAACCCUUGUGGAGGGAGCCGUCGAAGGUGGGAUCGGUGAGUAGGACUAAGUCGAACAAGGAGCCGACCGAAG